ACCUCUACAGCAUCAGGGUCUCCUGUGGCAUCAUCAAAAUCAUUUGCAUAUCUCCAAUUAAGCUGCCUUUAUCCCUUUUCUUUUUAAUUUUGGGUGAGAUAUGAAAGAGAGAGUCAAAUUCAACGCAUUUCUAAAAGGUGGAAUAUAAGUCAGAGCUAUUUUCUUCUCUUAAGUUUCAGUAAAGGGUUUUAUUUAUUCAUUAAUUCUACCCAGGGGUAAAAGAAGAUAUUGACAAAAAAAGGAAAAGAGAAACCCCCUUCUAAAUCAAAAAGAUCUGUCACUCUGCUCAUUUCAUACCUUUCAGAACAUUAUCCUUUUUA
rnacentral:misc_RNA from 1 species